rnacentral:rRNA from 1 species
UAGGGAAUCUUCCACAAUGGGCGAAAGCCUGAUGGAGCAACGCCGCGUGNGUGAUGAAGGGUUUCGGCUCGUAAAACACUGUUGUAAGAGAAGAAUGACAUUGAGAGUAACUGUUCAAUGUGUGACGGUAUCUUACCAGAAAGGAACGGCUAAAUACGUGCCAA